AUUGAACGCUGGCGGCAGGCUUAACACAUGCAAGUCGAGCGGGGGAAGGUAGCUUGCUACUGGACCUAGCGGCGGACGGGUGAGUAAUGCUUAGGAAUCUGCCUAUUAGUGGGGGACAACAUCUCGAAAGGGAUGCUAAUACCGCAUACGUCCUACGGGAGAAAGCAGGGGAUCUUCGGACCUUGCGCUAAUAGAUGAGCCUAAGUCGGAUUAGCUAGUUGGUGGGGUAAAGGCCUACCAAGGCGACGAUCUGUAGCGGGUCUGAGAGGAUGAUCCGACACACUGGGACUGAGACACGGCCCAGACUCCUACGGGAGGCAGCAGUGGGGAAUAUUGGACAAUGGGGGGAACCCUGAUCCAGCCAUGCCGCGUGUGUGAAGAAGGCCUUAUGGUUGUAAGGCACUUUAAGCGAGGAGGAGGCUACUCUGGUUAAUACCUAGGGAUAGUGGACGUUACUCGCAGAAUAAGCACCGGCUAACUCUGUGCCAGCCGCCGCUGUAA
rnacentral:rRNA from 1 species